UAGCAAAAUCUAUGUGAGUUACUUGGGUUUCCCUUCAACAUGUUAUGAUUGAUGCAAGCUCACGUUUCAGAUGCU